AUCCUUUAGUGGUUCAUAUGUGUGAUUGGGUGUUCAUGCCACUGUGUGAUAUGCGUCUCCUGUGAGCCUCGUCACAACGUCAGCACAGUACCCAUGUGACA
ensembl:snoRNA